UGUUGCCUCGGUUACACUAAACUGUAAAGAUGAAAUUAGUGUCUUAACAAUCAAAAGGGUAAAAACUGCAGUGUUUAACACUCAAUUCAGUAGUUUUGUGGUAAGUAACACCAUCUAGUACUGUCCUCGUCAUAUCAAGGGUUCAACUGUCCCCGGGUUUAGAUAUGUUCCUGGUCGCUAGGAGACGGUAACAGAGGUCUCUUAUCAAUGGGACUAAAAACAACAUUCUAACUGGUCAGGGGGAACAGCUGACAGAUAUACUGCACAUAAUAAUAAUAAUAAUAAUAACAAACAAAAAACACCACACCAUUUUGUUUAGGGGGAAGGAGGGCAACUAACAUUACUAUUGGGGCAUGCUGGGAGGUUCUGGGGGGUGGUUCUAACAUUACUAUUGGGGCAUGUAGGGAGGUUCUGGGGGGUGGUUUCUAAUAUUACUAUUGGGGCAUGUAGGGAGGUUCUGGGGGGUGGUUCUAAAUAUUACUAUUGUGCAGUGGGAGGUUCUGGGGGUGGUUCUAAUAUUACUUGGGGCAUGUAGGGAGUCUUGGGGGUAUCUUCUUAACUAUGGGCGUAGGGAGGUUCGGGGGGUGUAUCUAAUAUUACUAUGGGGCAUGUAGGGAGGUUCGGGGGUA
rnacentral:lncRNA from 1 species